UAAGUGAACGCUGGCGGCGUGGAUUAGGCAUGCAAGUCGUAGCGAUGAUUUCUUUAGGGACAGUCCCCUUACGGGGACAGUCCCGAGAAAAAUCAUAGCGGCAAACUGGUGAGUAACAGGUGAGUAAUCUACCUCUAUAUCGGGGAUAGCCUUGCGAAAGCGAGGGUAAUACCUGAUGUGUCCCCUAGCACAAAAGUGGUGGGGGAUAAAGGCAUCCGCAAGGAUGCUGUAUAGAGAUGAACUCGUCUCCUAUCAGCUAGUUGGUAGGGUAAUGGCCUACCAAGGCAAUUGACGGGUAGCUGGUCUGAGAGGACGGUCAGCCACAUGGGGACUGAGACACUGCCCCGACUCCUACGGGAGGCUGCAGUCGAGGAUAUUUAGCAAUGGGCGAAAGCCUGACUAUGCGACGCCGCGUGAGGGAUGAAGGUCUUCGGAUUGUAAACCUCUUUCGAUGGGGAAGAAUUCAGACGGUACCUAGAGAAGAAGCCAUGGCUAACUCCGUGCCAGCAGCCGCGGUAAUACGGAGAUGGCAAGCGUUACUCGGAUUUACUGGGUGUAAAGGGCAGGUAGGCGUCUCGAUAAGUUCUUGGCGAAAUCCUUCUGCUUAACAGAAGAACUGCCGAGAAAACUAUCGAGAUUGAGACUAGAAGAGGAGAGUGGAAUUCCCGGUGUAAGGGUGAAAUCUGUAGAUAUCGGGAGGAACACCAGAAGCGAAGGCGACUCUCUGGUCUAGGUCUGACGCUGAGCUGCGAAAGCUAGGGGAGCAAACAGAAUUAGAUACUCUGGUAGUCCUAGCCGUAAACGAUGAGCACUAGGUGUUGGCUCUGAAUAAGGGUCGGUGCCGUAAGAUAACUCGUUAAGUGCUCCACCUGGGGACUACGGCCGCAAGGCUAAAACUCAAAGGAAUUGACGGGGGCCCGCACAAGCGGUGGAACAUGUGGUUCAAUUCGACGAUACGCGAAGAACCUCACCAGGGCUUGACAUGCAGGAAGUAGGAACCUGAAAGGGUAACGACCUGUCAAGUCAGGAGCCUGCACAGGUGUUGCAUGGCUGUCGUCAGCUCGUAUCGUGAGACGUUGGGUUAAGUCCCGCAACGAGCGCAACCUUCAUCCUUAGUUGCUACCCAAUGCCAAUUUUGGCAACAAGAUUAGUGUUGGGGCACUCUAAGGAAACUGCCCGCGAUAAGCGGGAGGAAGGCGGAGAUUACGUCAAGUCAGUACGGCCCUUAUGCCCUGGGCUACACACGUGUUACAAUGCCUGCUACAAAGCGUUGCUAAGUCGCGAGGCGGAGCUAAUCGCAAAAAAGCAGGCUCAGUUCGGAUUGGAGUCUGCAACUCGACUCCAUGAAGCUGGAAUCGCUAGUAAUGACAGAUCAGCUACGCUGUCGUGAAUACGUUCCCGGGCCUUGUACACACCGCCCGUCAAGCGAUGGGAGCUAGGGGUACCUGAAAUCCCUGAGCAAUCAGGGCUGAAGGUAAAUCUGGUGACUGGCGCU
rnacentral:rRNA from 1 species